AUACGGAGGAUGCGAGCGUUAUCCGGAUUUAUUGGGUUUAAAGGGAGCGUAGGUGGGAUAUUAAGUCAGCUGUGAAAGUUUGGGGCUCAACCUUAAAAUUGCAGUUGAUACUGGUUUCCUUGAGUACGGUAUAGGUGGGCGGAAUUCGUGGUGUAGCGGUGAAAUGCAUAGAUAUGACGAAGAACACCGAUUGCGUAGGCAGCUGACCAGACCGCAAAUGACGCUCAUGCACGAAAGUGCGGGGAUCGAACAGGAUUAGAUACCCUGGUAGUCCGCACAGUAAACGAUGAAUACUUGUUUUCGGCGAUAUAAUGUCGGAGGCAAAGCGAAAGCGAUAAGUAUUCCACCUGGGGAGUACGCCGGCAACGGUGAAACUCAAAUGAAUUGACGGGG
rnacentral:rRNA from 1 species